rnacentral:misc_RNA from 1 species
UAUUCAUUUGGGUACUGUUACCAUAGAUUUGGGUACUGUAAAAAUAGUACUGAAUUUAAUACUGAUGCACCCCCUACCAUGAAUGUCACUCGGCAUAAAUAUCAGUAUGGAAUCAUCAGGGUGAAAUGUACCACCCAAAUUGGCAAAAGAAUCCUAAUGCCAAUCCCAAUCCUAUAUACAAAUAAUCUCUAUAUUUUAAAUAAGCACCAGCAGAUCAAAACUUCCACAAUUUUGAAAGAAACAAUUAUGGAUCACGUACUGAGCUUUGCAAUCAUCUCCUCCAACAUCCUAAGCGUUGUUGUUCCCAUGACUCUUUCUCCUUCUGCAUCAAUUUCUUGCAUGAUCUGCUCUAUAAGUUCAUGCUUCGAUUGUUUACUUCUCGAACCAUAACAUGAACAAUCCCUCAGGAGCAGCAACAGUUCUUGAGCUGUAUCCUUAGCCCUCCAUGUUCCAUCUACGCUUAACUGAAGCAAUCCUGGCAUUACACCUUCCCUUAAAAUCAGUACUCUGUAUUUUUCUCUGCAGCUCUGGCAUAUCAACAGCAGAAUUACCACUGCUUGCUCUUUACAUUGCGGAGAACCCUCUUCAAUCGUCUCAACCAAAGCUCGAAUUGCCCCACUUGUACUGGCAGUCUGCAGAAGUGCAUUCUCUGAUAUAGUCACUAUAUUUUCUAGCAGUGCCAUUGCUUUCUCAACAAAUUUUGAUGAUUUUUCAUAGCUGUGAAUUAUUUGAAGCAGGGUAAAAACUACCCUAGAAGCAACAAUUGAUGGAAUAGUCUGAUGACAAGUUGAGAGAUUGUGGAGUGUCGCUAUAGCAUCAAGCUUGGCUUGGAUGCUAAUGGUGUUUGUGGUAUCAUCAUCAUCAUUAUUUGCAAAGUCUCCAUUGAGGAUUCCAACAAGGAUCGGAAUAGCACCAGAAGAUGUGACUGCUAAUUUGUUCGCUGUACAAGAAGAGACGAUCAAGAGAGCAGCUAUUAUGAGCUCAGUCAGCGUCCCAUUAUGGCAUUGGAGGAGCUCUAACAGCACAGGUACAAGCCCAGAUUUCACUAUCCGAAUCUUGUUUCUUUCACUUCCAAAGGCAAGGCUAAGUAAAGCAAAAAGAGCAGCUUCAAUGGCUUCAUAAUCCUGACACUGAAGCAUUGAAAUCAAAGGAGAAAUAAUCCCUCUUUCAGCCAAUUUGUGCCUUUGCUUACUAGUGAGUUUACCAAGUUGAGCAGCAGCCUGAAUCUGUGCUUCUCUCUCACCAUUGAAGAGAUUCUGCACCACAAACUCUUCCAUGACUAGUUAGCAAUCUGCAAUCCCUCCUCCUGCUGCUGCUGCCAACAAUAAAAUAUCAUAUAGUUAGGCAACAGUGAAGAUAGG